rnacentral:misc_RNA from 1 species
CCGGAGCAAGUUGAAUUGAAGGCCAUCUACUUUGCAUCGUUGAAAGAUAACAUUUUUGACAUGGAAAAUUCAACAAAGUAAGACAGGUGAGUUACAAUUGUCAGAAAACUAUUGACUCAUGGCCGUUAAGACUCAGUGCAUCCUAGGUCAGCAGAAUCAAUGGUCUUCAUUGUAUUCUCCAUCACAUUUGGGGAUUGUUCUUGCUGCUCGUUCAAGGACUGGUCUUGCUGGAUAGGUGCUGGCUUCAUCUCUGAUUUCUUCUUCUCUUUGAGAA